GAGGGUAAGAGAAAGCCUCAUUGGGUCUCUUGGCAGACGAUGACACAACCAAAAAAGAAUGGAGGACUUGGUUUUAGAGAUCUUGAGCUCUUCAACCUUGCGUUAUUAGCAUGUCAGGCCUGGAGGCUGUUGACUAUGCCUGACUCUCUAUGUGCCAAGCUACUGAAGGCAAUUUGCUUUCUGGAGGUAAGCAUUAUGGAUGCAGACGUGAGCUCUCACCAUUCGCAGGUUUGGCGGCCGUUGAUCGAGGGAAGGGACGUGCUAGCUCAUGGCCUGAUCCGAAGGAUUGGAGACGGGAGUUCCGCAGAGGUUUGGACGCAUAACUGGAUUCCCAGGGAUACUUCUAUGAAACCUAUAGCCUGCUUGAGGCCGAACCCACCAAUUCUAGUGUCGGAGUUGAUUGAUGCUGCAAAUGUAGCGUGGCGAUCUAAUCUUCUACACCAGUAUUUCCUACCAAUCGAUAUUCAGUCCAUCACUAAUAUACCACUAUGCAUGAUGCCUAUGGCAGAUUUUUGGGCUUGGCAGUUUGAGAAGAAGGGCUCCUUUUCGGUAAGACCAGCUUACUGA
rnacentral:rRNA from 1 species